AUGGUGAAACCGCGAAUGGCUCAUUAAAUCAGCUAUGGUUCCUUAGAUCUUACAUCCAUACUUGGAUAACUGUAGUAAUUCUAGAGCUAAUACAUGCCAUAAAUCCCUGACUUUAUAGGAAGGGUGGAUUUAUUAGAACAAAACCAACCGGCUUCGGCCGUUGGCUUGAUGACUCUGGAUAACUUUUCUGAUCGCACGGCCAAGCGCCAGCGACGUAUCUUUCAAAUGUCUGCCCUAUCAACUAUCGAUGGUAGGUGAUAUGCCUACCAUGGUGAUGACGGGUAACGGGGAAUCAGGGUUCGAUUCCGGAGAGGGAGCCUUAGAAAUGGCUACCACAUCUAAGGAAGGCAGCAGGCGCGCAAAUUACCCACUCUCAGCUCGAGGAGGUAGUGACGAAAAAUAACGAUAUAAGACUCAUUAGAGGCCUUAUAAUUGGAAUGAGUACAAUUUAAAUCCUUUAACGAGGAACAAUUGGAGGGCAAGUCUGGUGCCAGCAGCCGCGGUAACUCCAGCUCCAAUAGCGUAUAU
rnacentral:rRNA from 1 species